ACCAGUGUGGCAUAGUGGUUUUAGCACUGGACUAUGAGUCUGGAGACCAGGGUUCAACUCCCAGUUCAGCCA